rnacentral:lncRNA from 1 species
AGACGGAUGAGAAUAUAUGAUUUGCAAAAGAGCUGGUUCCGGAGUUGAUGGAGGUGGAAAAGAAACCACCACACAAGGUGGAGAAGAAGAAGUGACGAUGGGAUGAAGAGAAAUGGGUGGAGACGUCAGUGGAGAGAAGGUUGUGGUAAUGAUGAAACAACUAGUGACAAUGGUAGUCGCAGUGCUGAUUUUACACAUGGAAUAAUAGUAAACACAAUAUAUAUUGCAUUUCAUUUCUAUUCUAUAUGUAUACAAUUGUAAAGAACAUAAAAAUGUUCAUUUUCUCUGAUCGUUUUUACUAACUGACAGUGGCGUGUACGUGACAGAAGCAAAGAAGAAGGUGCAUCUCUCCAUGUCAAAUACAGAGGAUGUGGGAGGUGUGAGUCCUGGAAUGUGAACAAGAAAAGAGGAAUAAAGUUAGGGGUUUGUGCUUUCACGGUGGUGUAUAUGACUCUGUGA